AGGAAAGCGAACUCUGUUUUCACUGUUUUUACAAAUUGACUUCCCUCCCCACUUUUUCCUUUGUUUAUAGAGCUGAUUUAAUCAUCCUAUAAUUGUGAGACCUGGCUGUUAAUUCUGAGACUGAGAAGCAUAAAAACUGAUAGUGAACAAUAGCAUGGCUGACUCAAUCGUUUAGUAAGAAUUAUUGUAGUCAACCAGGAGCAUGAAGACUAAUAUAAAAUGAAGACCAUGGUUGAUUUAAUCCGUCUUUGCUGAUGAAGAUCUUGGCUGCUACCUUUGUGGGAUGGAUGCAUGAUGAAUCAAUUAUGGAGUGUAGAAACUUAUGU
rnacentral:lncRNA from 1 species